rnacentral:tRNA from 1 species
CAGAACGUAGUUUAGUUAAGAGCAUCGGCUUUGGGUGCCGAAGGUGUGAGUGUAAGUCUCGUCGUUCUGA